UAUUGCACAAUGGGCGCAAGCCUGAUGCAGCGCCGCCGCGUGAGUGAAGAAGUAUCUCGGUAUGUAAAGCUCUAUCAGCAGGGAAGAAAAUGACGGUACCUGACUACGAAGCCCCGGCUCACUACGUGCCAGCAGCCGCGGUGAUACGUAGGGGGCAAGCGCUAUCCGGAUUUACUGGGUGUAAAGGGGGCGCAGACGGCAGCGCAAGCCAGGAGUGAAAGCCCGGGGCCCAACCCCGGGACUGCUCUUGGAACUGCGCGGCUGGAGUGCAGGAGGGGCAGGCGGAAUUCCUGGUGUAGCGGUGAAAUGCGUAGAUAUCAGGAGGAACACCGGUGGCGAAGGCGGCCUGCUGGACUGCGACUGACGUUGAGGCCCGAAAGCGUGGGGAGCAAACAG
rnacentral:rRNA from 1 species